rnacentral:rRNA from 1 species
CUACGGGCUGCAGCAGGCGAGAAAACUUUGCAAUGUGCGAAAGCACGACAAGGUUAAUCCGAGUGGUUUGUGCUAAACGAACCUUUUGACAGCCCUAGAAACACUGUUGAAUAAGGGGUGGGCAAGUUCUGGUGUCAGCCGCCGCGGUAAAACCAGCACCUCAAGUGGUCAGGAUGAUUAUUGGGCCUAAAGCAUCCGUAGCCGGCUCUGUAAGUUUUCGGUUAAAUCUGUACGCUCAACGUACAGGCUGCCGGGAAUACUGCAGAGCUAGGGAGUGGGAGAUGUAGACGGUACUCGGUAGGAAGGGGUAAAAUCCUUUGAUCUAUUGAUGACCACCUGUGGCGAAGGCGGUCUACCAGAACACGUCCGACGGUGAGGGAUGAAAGCUGGGGGAGCAAACCGGAUUAGAUACCCCUGUAGUC